UGGAAAGUGGAGGCACUAAUCAAUUGGCAGGACUGGCAAAUACAAUUGAUAAAAUGGGUGAUAAAAUUAUGGGAGUAAAGUAGAAGCCCUGACUUAGCUACUACAGGGAAGAUUCUCAACAUCGAGAAAGCCAGAUGAGAGCUUCCUGCAGGUUUCUCACUGACAACAGAACUGUUUAGGAAGAAGCAGAAAUUACAGCAGCAUGGGGGUACCUGCCUGUGGAUAACAAGGGAUGAUGUGAAGGGAUGCAGGAGCAACAGUUCUUGCAAACAAAGUCCUGAGAACCCUGUGCUGAGAUAGUGACUGCCUCAAAAUUCACAUUGCCGGGAAAAAAUUAACAAGAGUUCACAGAGUUUGCCCAAGCCAACCAUCAUAUGGCUCAAACAGAAAUGGAUGGGGAAUUCUGUAGAGACUUGAGGAGAGGCAUCAGCUUGGAAUCAACUGUGAAAGAUGUAUGAAAAUUCACAGGACUGGGGAGAGAAUGGUAACAACAGCAGAGCUGAAAGAAUGUGAUAUACAGAGUAGAUAUGUAAACUGAGACGUCUUUUCAAAUGAGAGCAGAUAAAUUCAGAGGGGCAGAGAUAACCAUUGGGAAAGCACAGAAGUCUCUGGUUUGUCUUCUGAAGCUUCACUGUGUCCUUCAAGAAUGUAACCAGGCCCCAGGUAAUGGACUGCUACAAAAUUUGUUUGUUCCCACAAUUCUUUCUUAAGCUAAGGCCUAAAGCUCUACAGUCUUGGAUGCACUUCCAUUAAAAAAAAAAAAUAAAGUGCCUUUCCAAAA